AGACGCCCUGGUUCAGACGCCUCUGACAGAUGCUCCAAGAUGAUGUGAAGCAUCAACAUGUUCACCUCUGCUCUGGUUACAAGAGGGAUGCAGUGUUCCAGGUGUCACAUGGAGAUAGCCGGGCAUCUCAUGAAGACAGGGGCAUUUUUGUCCUUUGAUACUUUCUAUGAAUAAGGAAAAAAUUAUCUGAUAUCUCCCUUAAAACCUUUCUGGCAGGAUUGGGCCCCAUAGUGUGCCUUGCUGGAGGAGAGGCUGGAAGGGACAGUACCCGCCAUCUUUGUUCUCUCAGGUUGGAGACAGGCCCUGCUGGAGAAUGGGGAGGCACGAGGAAUAAAGAGGGUCUACUUCAGAGCAGCAGAAAAAAUGUUUCUUUCUGGAAAUAUACUGAAGAACAAAAUGUGAUAUGAAGACAUAUGGAAUAUAAAAACAAAGGGUGGACAGGCUGUGUAAAAAUGGAAUCUGUCACUCAUGUCUCCUAUUUGAUAAAUUGGAGUAUAUAUAAAUUUACUCAAUUUAAAUGCAAAUAUUUGAUUUUAGAAAGUCUCAUACUCUAUAUAUUAUAGGGCAGAAAAUUUUCAUAUCAUCGCACACUCUAUUAAAGAGGAUUUCAAACUAUUUUAAAACUGUUCAGCAGCCUUGUAAUAAAGUUAUCCUCUGAACCUCUUCACACACUUAUCAACCUUGACUUAUAUUACUCCAAAUAUUUCAGCCUGUUUCUUGAGGAUGCUUUACCUUGGGGUCUCUAAGUGUAAAGAUUUCCAGUUGUUUCCAGCACAUUCUGUCACCUUUGUUCAACUCUCCAACUUUACUUCAUUAAUGUAUAUGGAUAAUGUUCAGUUCCAUCACAUCUUAUGAAGAACUAAUGAAGCUCUUCCAGACUUAAUUUUAGGAUUCAGUGGCUGUCUGGAUUCCCUUGUAUCAGCAUUCACUUUCGUCAUCACUU
rnacentral:lncRNA from 1 species